GUACUCUCUUAUUCUUGCCCACUAGAGAAUUCUCACUCACCAAAACUAUCGCUCUUUCCAUCUCCCCUCUAUUCCUUUUUUUUUCUUUCUUCGCCAAUCAGAACAUCAUCCUCCAGAUCAUGCUCCAUAUCAGUUAGCGCUUGAUCUGACAAUAAAUUUUUUCCCUUAUGAUUUUUGAAAUUCUUUCGGCCUUCCAAGCUAAAACCCAAAACUGGGUCAAAAAUAUUUCCUUACCCAGCUAAUUUAUUUUCACCAGUCCACAGAUUGUUCCCAGUCAUCUAAAAACCUUCACUAUCUCCUUUCAGUUUCCCAUCCCUUUCUUCCCUUAACCACACACUAUUAAAUAUUGCAGCCCUCAGUGACUGGGCUCGUAAUGAUAGGUCCUAACCCAUUUUAGCUACUUCCACC
rnacentral:lncRNA from 1 species